UUCGCGUUACAACUUAAGAUGGCGGCCAGGCGGAGAGACUGAAGGUUGCUGUGCUGAGAGCCAGGCCCUAUCUAUGCUGCGAGACUUCUUCAACCCUGUUAAGAUGUAGUAAGGUCAGUUCUGGUUAUAUAGUUUCAUCAAUAGAUGUUGGUUUUUAUGAAUGGGGAGGAAAAACUGCUACCUUAAAAACGAAAUACUACUGUGACGUUCAGGCCCUUAGCUUGCCCACUCUGUGCACGUUCAGGCCCUUCUCUGCACGGAGGCCCUCUAGCUCCAGAGGUCAGCAGGGAUUGAGCUGUAUGGGGUGGGUAUGGCCAGGUUUCGGAGCCAAACCAGUGCACUUGGAACCAUCUUUUGAGGAUGGGAGGUACUUGUAGUGUGGGUGGUGCCUGCAGGGUUAUUAAAGCAAGUGAGUGUUGGUGGCAUGCUUGCAUGAGGGUGGUCUGAAGGAAGAAGCAAGAAAGAAAUGAAAGCUAAAGGUGCCUCCUUGUUCUUCUGAGGCUUAUUAGUAUCAGCUGUUGGGGCUCUGUUAAUUACCCCAUUCUGAAAACCUACAUGGAGUGGGUUGUUACCAUCUGGUUUUAGCUUUUAGUUCUUUUUGCAACUUUACUGAAGAUGGUGCUACUUCAAAGAUUGAAUUUGAAAUCUUACUUGGCUACUAUCUGGGGAAGCUCUUCUCUUUAAUUAGGAGCUGGACGCAAUCUUGGUUUUUUCCCCUCUUUAAAUCCAUAGUCUCAGGGUAGGUAUUUGCCUCCAUUAGCAGAACCCUCCUUGGUGGUAACCAGUCAGUGUUGGUAAACAAGAUGCUGUUCCAGCAGUUUCUCUUCUUGCAGGGGGAGUGACUGGGCUUUGGCAGCCUGUGGCUUGUUUCUUGGCCCCAGGCAGAGCAGAAAGCACAGUUGGGGGUGAAGCAGCUGCCUCUGAGCUUUGGGAAAGGUCAGGACUGGGAGAGCAGAACUCUGACAAACAACUGUGCACUAUAUGCUACUGAAGCUUCUCUACUUGUAUUUAUAAGUCAGCAUAUCCAUAUGCCUCAAUAAUCCAGUGCUCUCUGCCCCUUAAAUAUAUUGUAGAUCUGCCAUUACAUUUUUGCUGUGUUAACUAUAACAUUUAUUUAUAAAGCAAGGAGGUUUAACUUUUAUUGAGAUGUAAACUGCAGAGAUAGUUUAGCUACUUGUUUUUUUUUCCUUUUGGCUGAAACCUGAACUAAAUUGCAGGAAUGGAAUUUGUUAAUUUGUGAGCUGACGAGCGCUCUUAACUUUAAAUAAUAAAACAAAAAAUGGCUGCUAGAAUGCAAGUGCCUUGGA